GACGAACGCUGGCGGCGUGCUUAACACAUGCAAGUCGAACGGAAAGGCCCUGCUUGCAGGGUGCUCGAGUGGCGAACGGGUGAGUAACACGUGGGUGAUCUGCCCCUUACUUUGGGAUAAGCCUGGGAAACUGGGUCUAAUACUGGAUAGGACCAUGCUGUAGGUGGUGUGGUGGAAAGAUUUUUUCGGUAAGGGAUGAGCUCGCGGCCUAUCAGCUUGUUGAUGGGGUAAUGGCCUACCAAGGCGUCGACGGGUAGCCGGCCUGAGAGGGUGGACGGCCACAUUGGGACUGAGAUACGGCCCAGACUCCUACGGGAGGCAGCAGUGGGGAAUAUUGCACAAUGGGCGCAAGCCUGAUGCAGCGACGCCGCGUGGGGGAUGACGGCCUUCGGGUUGUAAACUCCUUUCAGCCAUGACGAAGCCUCUUUUGGGGUGACGGUAGUGGUAGAAGAAGCACCGGCUAACUACGUG
rnacentral:rRNA from 1 species